UUAAGCGACUAAGCGUACACGGUGGAUGCCCUGGCAGUCAGAGGCGAUGAAGGACGUGCUAAUCUGCGAAAAGCGUCGGUAAGGUGAUAUGAACCGUUACAGCCGGCGAUGUCCGAAUGGGGAAACCCAGUGCAAUUCGUUGCACUAUCGUUAACUGAAUACAUAGGUUAACGAGGCGAACCGGGGGAACUGAAACAUCUAAGUACCCCGAGGAAAAGAAAUCAACCGAGAUUCCCCCAGUAGCGGCGAGCGAACGGGGAGCAGCCCAGAGUCUGAAUCAGCUUGUGUGUUAGUGGAACGGUCUGGAAAGUCCGACGGUACAGGGUGAUAGUCCCGUACACCAAAAUGCACAGGCUGUGAACUCGAAGAGUAGGGCGGGACACGUGGUAUCCUGUCUGAAUAUGGGGGGACCAUCCUCCAAGGCUAAAUACUCCUGACUGACCGAUAGUGAACCAGUACCGUGAGGGAAAGGCGAAAAGAACCCCGGCGAGGGGAGUGAAAAAGAACCUGAAACCGUGUACGUACAAGCAGUGGGAGCACCUUCGGGUGUGACUGCGUACCUUUUGUAUAAUGGGUCAGCGACUUAUAUUCUGUAGCAAGGUUAACCGUAUAGGGGAGCCGCAGGGAAACCGAGUCUUAACUGGGCGUUAAGUUGCAGGGUAUAGACCCGAAACCCGGUGAUCUAGCCAUGGGCAGGUUGAAGGUUGGGUAACACUAACUGGAGGACCGAACCGACUAAUGUUGAAAAAUUAGCGGAUGACUUGUGGCUGGGGGUGAAAGGCCAAUCAAACCGGGAGAUAGCUGGUUCUCCCCGAAAGCUAUUUAGGUAGCGCCUCGUGAAUUCAUCUUCGGGGGUAGAGCACUGUUUCGGCUAGGGGGUCAUCCCGACUUACCAACCCGAUGCAAACUACGAAUACCGAAGAAUGUUAUCACGGGAGACACACGGCGGGUGCUAACGUCCGUCGUGAAGAGGGAAACAACCCAGACCGCCAGCUAAGGUCCCAAAGUCAUGGUUAAGUGGGAAACGAUGUGGGAAGGCACAGACAGCCAGGAUGUUGGCUUAGAAGCAGCCAUCAUUUAAAGAAAGCGUAAUAGCUCACUGGUCGAGUCGGCCUGCGCGGAAGAUGUAACGGGGCUAAACCAUGCACCGAAGCUGCGGCAGCGACACUAUGUGUUGUUGGGUAGGGGAGCGUUCUGUAAGCCUGCGAAGGUGUGCUGUGAGGCAUGCUGGAGGUAUCAGAAGUGCGAAUGCUGACAUAAGUAACGAUAAAGCGGGUGAAAAGCCCGCUCGCCGGAAGACCAAGGGUUCCUGUCCAACGUUAAUCGGGGCAGGGUGAGUCGACCCCUAAGGCGAGGCCGAAAGGCGUAGUCGAUGGGAAACAGGUUAAUAUUCCUGUACUUGGUGUUACUGCGAAGGGGGGACGGAGAAGGCUAUGUUAGCCGGGCGACGGUUGUCCCGGUUUAAGCAUGUAGGCUGGUUGUCCAGGCAAAUCCGGAUAAUCAAGGCUGAGGUGUGAUGACGAGGCACUACGGUGCUGAAGUAACAAAUGCCCUGCUUCCAGGAAAAGCCUCUAAGCAUCAGGUAACAUCAAAUCGUACCCCAAACCGACACAGGUGGUCAGGUAGAGAAUACCAAGGCGCUUGAGAGAACUCGGGUGAAGGAACUAGGCAAAAUGGUGCCGUAACUUCGGGAGAAGGCACGCUGGUGUGUAGGUGAAGCCCCUGCGGGUGGAGCUGAGACCAGUCGAAGAUACCAGCUGGCUGCAACUGUUUAUUAAAAACACAGCACUGUGCAAACACGAAAGUGGACGUAUACGGUGUGACGCCUGCCCGGUGCCGGAAGGUUAAUUGAUGGGGUUAUCCGUAAGGAGAAGCUCUUGAUCGAAGCCCCGGUAAACGGCGGCCGUAACUAUAACGGUCCUAAGGUAGCGAAAUUCCUUGUCGGGUAAGUUCCGACCUGCACGAAUGGCGUAAUGAUGGCCAGGCUGUCUCCACCCGAGACUCAGUGAAAUUGAACUCGCUGUGAAGAUGCAGUGUACCCGCGGCAAGACGGAAAGACCCCGUGAACCUUUACUAUAGCUUGACACUGAACAUUGAGCCUUGAUGUGUAGGAUAGGUGGGAGGCUUUGAAGCGUGGACGCCAGUCUGCGUGGAGCCAACCUUGAAAUACCACCCUUUAAUGUUUGAUGUUCUAACGUUGGCCCCUUACCGGGGUUGCGGACAGUGUCUGGUGGGUAGUUUGACUGGGGCGGUCUCCUCCCAAAGCGUAACGGAGGAGCACGAAGGUUAGCUAAUCCUGGUCGGACAUCAGGAGGUUAGUGCAAUGGCAUAAGCUAGCUUGACUGCGAGCGUGACGGCGCGAGCAGGUGCGAAAGCAGGUCAUAGUGAUCCGGUGGUUCUGAAUGGAAGGGCCAUCGCUCAACGGAUAAAAGGUACUCCGGGGAUAACAGGCUGAUACCGCCCAAGAGUUCAUAUCGACGGCGGUGUUUGGCACCUCGAUGUCGGCUCAUCACAUCCUGGGGCUGAAGUAGGUCCCAAGGGUAUGGCUGUUCGCCAUUUAAAGUGGUACGCGAGCUGGGUUUAGAACGUCGUGAGACAGUUCGGUCCCUAUCUGCCGUGGGCGCUGGAGAAUUGAGGGGGGCUGCUCCUAGUACGAGAGGACCGGAGUGGACGCAUCACUGGUGUUCGGGUUGUCAUGCCAAUGGCACUGCCCGGUAGCUAAAUGCGGAAGAGAUAAGUGCUGAAAGCAUCUAAGCACGAAACUUGCCCCGAGAUGAGUUCUCCCUGAGACUUUAAGUCUCCUGAAGGAACGUUGAAGACGACGACGUUGAUAGGCCGGGUGUGUAAGCGCAGCGAUGCGUUGAGCUAACCGGUACUAAUGAACCGUGAGGCUUAACCUU
rnacentral:rRNA from 1 species